UUCCGUAGGUGAACCUGCGGAGGGAUCA
rnacentral:rRNA from 4 species